rnacentral:rRNA from 1 species
AACGAACGCUGGCGGCAUGCCUAACACAUGCAUGUCGAACGAGUACCUUCGGGUGCUAGUGGCGCACGGGUGAGCAACGCGUGGGAACCUGCCUUUCGGUACGGGACAACGUUUGGAAACGAACGCUAAUACCGUAUAUGUCUUUGGAUGAAAGAUUUAUCGCCGGAAGAUGGGCCCGCGUCUGCUUAGGUAGUUGGUGAGGUAGUGGCUCACCAAGCCUUCGAUCAGUAGCUGGUCUGAGAGGAUGAUCAGCCACACUGGGACUGAGACACGGCCCAGACUCCUACGGGAAGCAGCAGUGGGGAAUAUUGGACAAUGGGCGCAAGCCUGAUCCAGCAAUGCCGCGUGAGUGAUGAAGGCCUUCGGGUUGUAAAGCUCUUUUACCUGCGACGAUGAUGACGGUAGCAGGAGAAUAGGCCCCGGCUAACUUCGUGCCAGCAGCCGCGGUAACAC